ACCCUACUGUCCUUGAUGGCAACAGCAGAUGCACUCCACUUGACUUGUUGGAUACAGAAGAUGCACUCCACUUGACUUCGUGGAUACAGAAGAUGCACUCCACUGGACUUGGUGGAAACCGCAGAUGCACUCCACUUGACUUCGUGGAUACAGAAGAUGCACUCCACUUGACUUGUUGGAUACAGAAGAUGCACUCCACUGGACUUGAUGGAUACAGAAGAUGGGCCCAACAGGACAUAGUGGAUACAACUGGAGGAGACUUGCCUGAUGAUGUUGACCUUCCAAACAAGACAUUUCAAAGGAGAUUAUUGACACUGAUCAGCUCUACUGGUCAGAGACAAGAAAGCUUGUUAUAGUAAACAAGGACAUGGCAUGGUGGAAACAGCUGGAGGAGACAGGGCCAAUGGAUGCUAAUCUUCCAAGAUGUGUAAACAACAGAUAUCCUCAACAAGACGUGUUACAGCAGAUGCAUCCAACUGGACAUUGAUAGAAACAACUGGAUGAUACAUAGCCAGUACAUGCUGAUCUUCCAAGAUGUGGAAACAGCAAAUGCACCCAACAGUACAUGAUGGAAACAGUAGAUGAACCCAAAAGGACCUGACAGAAACAAUUGGAGGAUGAAUAGCCAAAGGAUGCUGAUCUGACAUUUAUCAGCUGCAGCCAACACAACUGGAAUAGACAAGCUUGAUGAACCUCUUUUAAGAUGGGAAAACAGCAAAGACUUCAAAAGGGACUUAAUGAAAUAAAUCCUGAGGAGGCAAAGCCAUUAUGAAUCUUUAGGCAAACUUGAUGGACAAUGAUUUUCCAAUAUGUGAAAACACCAGCUACACCCAAAAGGAAUUGGUGGAAAGAUGAGAAAACAACAAAUACUUUCUAAAAGGACUUGGUGAAAUAAAUCUUGAGGAGGCAAGGCCAUUAUUAAUAUUUUGGCAAACUUGAUGGACAAUGAUUUUCCAAUAUGUGAAAACACCAGCUACAUCCAAAAGGAAUUGGUGGAAAGAUGAGAAAACAACAAAUACCGUACUUUCUUAAAGGACUUGGUGAAAUAAAUCUUGAGGAGGCAAGGCCAUUAUUAAUAUUGUGGCAAACUUGAUGGACAAUGAUAAUCCAAUAUGUGAAAACACCAGCUACACCCAAAAGGAAUUGGUGGAAAGAUGAGAAAACAACAAAUACUUUCUAAAAGGACUUAGUGAAAUUAAUCUUGAGGAGGCAAGGCCAUUAUUAAUAUUGCGGCAAGCUUGAUGGACAAUGAUAAUCCAAUAUGUGAAAACACUAGCUACAUCCAAAAGGAAUUGGUAGAAAGAUGGGAAAACAGCAAAUACUUCUAAAAAGACUUAAUGAAAUAAAUCUUGAGGAGGCAAGGCCAUUAUGAAUCUUUAGGCAAACUUGAUGGACAAUGAUUUUCCAAUAUGUGAAAACACUAGAUACACCCAAAAGGAAUUGGUGGAGAGAUGAAAAAACAACAAAUACUUUUCAAAAGGACUUGGUGAAAUAAAUCUAAAGGAGGCAAGGCCAUUAUUAAUAUUGUGGCAAACUUGAUGGACAAUGAUAAUCCAAUAUGUGAAAACACCAGCUACACCCAAAAGAAAUGGGUGGAAACAUUAUAAACACAGACAAGCUUGAUGGACAAUGAUUUUCAAAAUGUGGAAACCACAAGAUAUCCCCAACAAGACUUGGUGGAAACACCCGGAGGACAAAAUUUAUGCCUGAUGGAUGUUGACUUUUCCACCAAGACAUACCACAGUGGAUAGCUGAUACUGAUCAGAAAAUCAAAGGAACUUUUAGAAGGAACAUCCUUGUCAUGAGAUCAUUAUGUGUGGAUGAAGAAGCAGGAAUAAAUGAUUAAUCCACACCUUCAAAGCACUGAUGUAAAUCCAUUUUAGUAACAAUGUUUUUUUCAAAGACUAUUUUAAAAAUAUAAAUUUUUGUAAAGGGUGUCCGAAUUAUGUCAGGGUAUGGGGUCGCCCAUUCGGACACGUGGGUUCUCUACGGGUACUCCGUCUUCCUCCCACACUGACCCCCACUUUUCUCUUUCUUCUUCAUU